CUUAGGCAAAGAGAUGUAGGUGAUAUCAGCUGGAAUUUCAGGCUGACACCCACAAAAAUGGGAAAUGGCCAAGGGGAUCUGGGCAGGAAACAAAGGUGUGUGCUACAACCCAUUACUUCUGACUAUUCCAAAGGGCCAUUUCUCUGAAUCUGCAUUGCUAAUACAAAUGCAUGUCCAUGUUUAUUCUCCCAUUCUUCGAUUCUUCCAAACAGGUGGCAAGAUGUUGGCAAGAUAAGAUUCUCGUCCCUAUAUAAAGGUGCAUUAUUACUGAUUAAAUGGAUGGGUGUGAAAAUCAGCAGAAGUCUUUCAGAGUCAUUGCCUCCUCACAAGAAAAGAUUAAAGUCGGCUCCUGUGGAUAUUGUGUUUUCGCCACACUUUAUAAAGUGAACCUGAAAGGCACCGUGGUUUAGUUGAAGGUACUAAAGGUGAGUAGAUUGGACAGUGGAAUUUUAGAUGCUGCACAGCAGGGGAGAGCCAUAAUCAACAUUUCCUGACCACAGAUUCAAUUCACCUUUAGUGAAACUAGUAUCUGCAGGGUUUAUUUUUUUCUAUGACUCCAAGAAUUAAUAUUUAGUGUAUAAUUCUACAGGAGAUAAUUAGAAAAGAAUGGGCAGUGGGUUGGGGAGAGAAAAGGGAAGACGAGCAGAUGGCAGAAAAGGGGUCAGUGUUUUUUAAUUGAAGCCAUGGAAGAAUUAAAAGAGGCUCCGGAGGGUAUAUCCAGAUCUGAGGGCUGUAUUUCUGCAUGAGUUAGUGGAUCAGAAGUGUACACAUGAGCUAUCCACAGGCAAUGUUAUGUCUCAACACCGACUCCAUUGGGACAGGCGUGAAGAAAGUCCAGCAGGUUCCAGCCUGGCCAAUAUGGUAAA
rnacentral:lncRNA from 10 species